rnacentral:rRNA from 1 species
GCGCGUAAAUUGCCCGAAUCCUGACACAGGGAGGCAGUGACAAGAAAUAACAAUACAGGGCUUCUAAAGUCUUGUAAUUGGAAUGAGUACAAUUUACAUCUCUUCACGAGGAUCAAUUGGAGGGCAAGUCUGGUGCCAGCAGCCGCGGUAAUUCCAGCUCCAAUAGCGUAUAUUAAAGUUGUUGCAGUUAGAACGCUCGUAGUCGGAUUUCGGGGCGGGCCGACCGGUCUGCCGAUGGGUACGCACUGGUCGGCGCGUCCUUCCUUCCGGAGACCGUGCCUACUCUUAACUGAGCGGGGGCGGGAGACGGAUCGUUUACUUUGAAAAAAUCAGAGUGUUUCAAGCAGGCAGCUCGCUCUUGCAUGGAUUAGCAUGGAAUAAUGAAAUAGGACUUUGGUGCUAUUUUGUUGGUUUCGAACACCGAAGUAAUGAUUAACAGGGACAGUCAGGGGCACUCGUAUUCC